UUUUUUAUGUCCAUUUUUCUUGGACAAAAAGCACCUUUACCCAAUUGUGUUUGUCACCCUGUAAGUAUUAGCCCACUAAAUUUAAAAAAAAAAAUGAAAUUAACUCACUAAACUUUUAAAAAAAAAUUAAUUGGGUCAUUCCGUCCAAAUUCUCUUUUAGACGUUAAAUAAAAUGUCCAAAUUUCCUACGUGUCAUUAAAAAAAUUAUAAAUUUCUUACAUGGCUUUUUAAUGGUUGUUGGCUCCUGUUCAGCCUUCCCAAUCCACUACCAAGGCAUCAAACACAUUCACAUAGGGUUUCGACUUGGAAAAUCUCUGAUCCAAAUCAAAUUUUCUCUCUCCUCUGCUCAAUAAUGGCGCUACGAAGAACAAUCGCCGGCCAUUUCGAUCCAAUAGAACAAAGAUUCGGAGUUCCUCUCGAUUUCGGUCGGUGACAAGUUGAGGGAAAAGCUGUGGCUAAAUAGCAUUGCCGGAGAUAGUAUCCAUUUCGACGGACUGAUAUCUUCAAACUUAGUUAUCAAAGAAUUCGAGAUUUUUUAAAAAUUGGACCACAGAUUGUGGCAUUUGGAGGUUGGUGAUCCGAGGUAAACGUUUGGAUACCGAGAGAGCUUUUGAUAUGGGGAAAGUACUCAGCUAUGUAAUUGGAAAGCAUGGGGUUUUCUAAUUUUUCUGGGUUGGAAUUUAGAGCUGAAGUACGGAUGAAAUAAGUGAGAAAUGAGAUAUGAGUGGAAAGAGAAGAAGGGUAGGGAGGAUUUGUGGUGAAUAAUGAGGAAGGAUAGAAGAACUAGAUAAGAGGGUGAUUAUUUGUUUGCAGGGCAUUUCUCUCAUUGUCUCAUUGUCUCUUCGAUUUCAUACACCGAAUUCGUUAAGGUUUGUUGUGAGGUGUUUAAAAACCGUGAGCAAGGUUUGGAGAAUGUGAAAAUGUUGGAUGAGGUCGGAAACAUCAUCAUUUUGGGAUUUAAAAUUAUAGAUAUGAAAUUUUGAUGAGAUUCUUGCUUUGUUUUUCUUUAUUGUGUUGUUUUUCUUUAUUUUGUGGUUAGUAUUGUUGCUUUGAUAAUCUUGAUCUGAAAAAGAUGAUGUUUGAAGAACAAAAGAAUAGCAGAGGUGAGAGGGCUUUGUUAACUGGAAAGAGGAUAGAGAAAAGAAAGAAAAAAGUUGGGAAGAGGGAAGAAAAUGGUGGUCAAAGAAGAGAGAGACGGAGGAAAAUGGCAGUCAAGAAAGAAAGAGAGACGUGUCUUUUUUUGAAAUCCACAUCAGUAAUGAGAUGUUUUGUUCUUUUUUUUCAAUAGCCACGUAAGAAAAUUUGACAAAUUUUUUGACAUCCGUCAACCAAAU
rnacentral:lncRNA from 1 species